rnacentral:rRNA from 1 species
CCUACGGGCGGCAGCAGUGGGGAAUAUUGGGCAAUGGAGGCAACUCUGACCCAGCAACGCCGCGUGAAUGAUGAAGGUCUUCGGAUUGUAAAGUUCUUUUGUUAGAGAAGAUUAUGACGGUAUCUAACGAAUAAGCACCGGCUAACUCCGUGCCAGCAGCCGCGGUAAUACGGAGGGUGCAAGCGUUACUCGGAAUCACUGGGCGUAAAGAGUGCGUAGGCGGGGUAAUAAGUCAGAUGUGAAAUCCUGUAGCUUAACUACAGAACUGCAUUUGAAACUGUUACUCUGGAGUGUGGGAGAGGUAGGUGGAAUUCUUGGUGUAGGGGUAAAAUCCGUAGAGAUCAAGAGGAAUACUCAUUGCGAAGGCGACCUGCUGGAACAUUACUGACGCUGAUGCACGAAAGCGUGGGGAGCAAACAGGAUUAGAUACCCUUGUAGUC